ACGGAGGGUGCAAGCGUUGUUCGGAUUCAUUGGGCGUAAAGCGAGUGUAGGCGGUUUGACAAGUCGGAUGUGAAAUCCCGGGGCCCAACCCCGGAACUGCAUCCGAUACUGUCUGGCUAGAGUCCCGGAGAGGGUGGCGGAAUUCCCGGUGUAGGGGUGAAAUCCGUAGAUAUCGGGAGGAACACCAGUGGCGAAGGCGGCCACCUGGACGGUGACUGACGCUGAGACUCGAAAGCGUGGGUAGCAAACAGGA
rnacentral:rRNA from 1 species